rnacentral:rRNA from 1 species
CCCUUAGAUGUUCUGGGCCGCACGCGCGCUACACUGAUGCAUUCAACAAGCCUAGCCUUGACCGAGAGGUCCGGGUAAUCUUUGAAACUGCAUCGUGAUGGGGCUAGAUUAUUGCAAUUAUUAAUCUUCAACGAGGAAUGCCUAGUAAGCGUGAUUCAUCAAAUCGCGUUGAUUACGUCCCUGCCCUUUGUACACACCGCCCGUCGCUCCUACCGAUUGAAUGGUCCGGUGAGGCUUUGGGAUCUGAGCGGAAAGAGCGUUUCGCUGUUUCUGCUCGGAAAACUCAGUCGAACCUUAUCAUUUAGAGGAAGGAGAAGUCGUAACA